CCCAUCAAGUGGAAGAAGUUAACUGCUUGCUGACCACAAGCACAUAGACCCCAGCCAGCUUGGAACCAGAAGGUUGAUGAUGUUGACUCCCCAGUUACCUCACCACCAACCAGUCAGAAGAAUGUUCAUGAGCUGAUUAUGUGCCCACAACCCCUCUCCUUUAUCUUGGAAGCCGUUGGGGAGUUUGGGUGUUUUGAGCACUAGCUGCCUGGACUCCUUGCUUGGUGCCUGCAAUAAACACUGCACUUUCACCAAGACCCACUCAGCAAAGACUCACUAUGUUUGAGCCUCAUAACUGGAGGAUAAGGCGACCAAAAAGCAUGCUGCAAAAACAUUUUUACAUUCGCUACCGGGAUUCCCUCAUCCUCACCAGCCUGGGAUUCGUGACUUUGGCUCUGGGAAUUGCUAUCACAAUCGGAGCUUUUAACAACGUGGUUGUCCUCCUUGGGAUGACGCUUGAUUUUCUGGGUGUCCUUCUUGGUAUUUUGGGGGGUAUAAACAUGUACACCACCUACUCGUGCUUCCAGAGCUCCUUAGAAGCACGAGGGGCAGCUGAGAACAUUCACCUCAUGUGGUGUCAGGUUCUACAUCAAGAGCCUGAACUCUUGGCCAGCAUCUGCUUAUAACCUCAUAUUUAAUCUGAAUAUCUCUAGGACUCCAAUUUUGUUUUAUGCAGCAUUUUCAAACUUGAAAUAAAAUUCUGAAAGCUACUGUGAAAGAGAUUUUCAAUGUCCCUUUUUUUUUUUCUCUUAACUUGGCCACACCAACGCACUGGAUUUGCUAUAGAAGUUCAUGACUGUUGACUUCUGAUCUCUGGUGAAAGAAGGGAAUGUUGGAGUACAGGUGAUGACGCUGAACCUUGCCAUAUAGAAGAGAUACCUACACGGACUUCUCUUGUAGAAUCCAGUCUUUCCACUCAUCCACAGAGACUUGUGAAAUCUGUUUUGGGCCCCUGAAUCUCGGCCUCAAACUGCCCAGUUCUCCAGAGAUAGACCUGGAGUUUGUACUAUGAUCUGUUAGGCUCCAGCCUCAGUUCUCAUGUGGAUCCAAUGAUUUGGAAUGGAAAUAUAGUGCCAGUAACCCAUGUUCCUGUCUGAGCUACCAGGGAAGCUUAAGAGGUGGGUGCUAGUUGUAAAGAGCCCGCCUGCCAAUGCGGGAGACAUAGAAGACGUGGGUUCAAUCCCUGGGUGGGGAACAGCAACCCACUCCAGUACUCUUGCCUGGAGAAUCCCAUGGACAGAGAAGCCUGGUGGGCUACAGUCCAGGGGAUCACAAAGAGUUGGACAAGACCAAACCGACUUAGCAUACAACCCAUGUUCCCAGCAUAGCUGUCAGCCAACACCAAUUGUCUUAUUGACUUCUCUCCUUAGUGCUUCAUUCAUAGCUGACUUCAUUCACAGUAUGGCACAUGGGUCCCUGGUUCCCUGACCAGGGAUCGAACUUGCACUCCCUGCACUGGAACCUCAGAGACUUAAUCACCAAACCGCCAGGGAAGUCCCCCCUCUUCCUUUGAACUGGUAUUUCCUCCUAUUGAAACGCUCAUUCUUCAAAACUCGUGCCGUCUCGUGAUAGCACGCCUCCUCCGCCUGGGACUGUCCUCUUAAGGUCCGACACACCGUGUGGCACCUUAUUCCUCAUCCCCCAUCAGCCAUUGACAGCUUCUCCUGUCCUACUGUUUUGCUCUCAUGACUAUUAUUCUUGAGGACAGGGAUGGCCCAUCAGCACAAAAACUGCUUGGUUCUUGUUGGAAUUUAAAAAAAUAACUUUGAUUGCAGGGACUUCCCUGGUGGUCCAGUGGUUAAGAAUCCAUCCUACAGGGGGUGUGGAUUUGAUCGCUGGUUGGGGAACUAAGAUCUCACAUGCCUCUUGGCCAAAAAAACUAAAACAUAAACAACAGAAGCCAUGGUGUAAGAAACUCGAUAAAGACUUUACAAGGGACUUCCCUGGUGAUCCAGGGGUUAGGACUCCUUGCUCCCAAUGUGGGGGGCCUGGGUUUGAUCCCUGGUUAGGAAACUAGGUCCCAUAUGCCACAACCAAGACCCAACAAAGCCAAAUAAAUUACUAUUUUUUUCUAAAAAGACUUCAUAGAUGGUCCACAUUAAAAAAAAUUCUUUUUUUCAUUGUUUAACACAUUUUAUUGAAGUAUAGUUGAUUUAUAAUGUUAAUUUCUAUUCUACAGCAAAGUGACUCAGUUAUACACAUAUAUUCUUUCCCAUUAUAGUUAUCACAGGACUUUUUGAACUUUUUAUUUUAUAUUGGAGUAUAGCUGAUUAACAAAUGUUAUAAGUUUCAGGUGGACAGCAAAGGAAUUCAGCCAUACAUAUAUAUGUAUCCAUUCUCCCCCCAAUUCCCCUCCCAUCCAGGCUGUCACAUAACACUGGGCAGAGUUCCCUGUGCUACACAGUAGGACCUUGUUGGUUAUCCAUUUUAAAUAUAGCAGCAUGUACAUGUCAAUCCCAACUCCCUAUCUGUUCCACCCAUCUUCCCCCUUCCCUCCCCAGCAACCGUAAGUUCCUUCUCUGAGUCUGUGCCUGUUUUGUAAGUAAGUUCAUUUGUAUCAUUUCAUUUUAGAUUCCACACAUAAGCAGUGUCAUAAAAUAUUUCUCCUACUCUUUCUGACUUACUUCGGUCCAUAUGACAAUUUCUAAGCCCAUCUAUGUUGCUGCAAUUGACAUUAUUUCAUUUUUUUAAUAGCUGAGUAAUAUUCUGUUGUAUAUAUGUACCAUAUCUUCUUUACACUCCUAUGUCAAUGGCCAUUUAGGUUUCUUCUAUGUCUUGGUUAUUGUAAACAGCACUGCAAUGAACACUGGGGUGCAUGCAUCUGCAUCCUUUUGGAUCAUGUUUUUCUCCAGAUAUAUGCCCAGGAGUGGGAUUGCAGGAUCAUAUAGUAGCUCUAUUUUUAGUUUUUUAAGGAAUCUCCAUACUGUUCUCCAUAGUGUCAGCACUAAUUU
ensembl:lncRNA